rnacentral:rRNA from 1 species
UCAAGUAAGUAAGGGCGUACGGCGGAUGCCUUGGCUAUAUCAGCCGAAGAAGGACGCGAUAAGCUGCGAUAAGCUGCGGUGAGGUGCAAGUAACCAUUGACCCGCAGAUGUCCGAAUGGGGAAACCCGGCGUGAGGAGUCACGUCAUCCUCUCAGGAGGAAGGGCACCCGGUGAACUGAAACAUCUAAGUAGCCGGAGGAAAAGGAAUCAAAAGAGAUACCCUGAGUAGCGGCGAGCGAAAGGGGCAGAGCCCAAACCGGGAUGGGAAACCAAUCCGGGGUUGCGGACUGCGAUAAACUGCACGAGCGAAGCAGAAUGAGCUGGGAAGCUCAGCCAGAGAGAGUGAGAGCCUCGUAAGCGCAAGCAGAUGCAGGGAGCAGGAUCCAGAGUACCACGAGACACGAGAAACCUUGUGGGAAGCAGGGGGGACCACCCUCCAAGGCGAAACACUGAUAUAGACCGAUAGCGCAUAGUACCGUGAGGGAAAGGUGAAAAGAACCCCGGGAGGGGAGUGAAAGAGAACCUGAAACCGUAUGUCUACAAGCAGUCGGAGCACUUUAUACGUGCGACGGCGUGCCUAUUGAAGAAUGAACCGGCGAGUUGCUUCAUCCAGCGAGGUUAAGCAGGAAAUGCGGAGCCGCAGCGAAAGCGAGUCUGAAGAGGGCGAGAAGUUGGAGGGAGCAGACCCGAAACCACAGUGAUCUACCCAUGUCCAGGUUGAAGCACAGGUAAAAAUGUGUGGAGGACCGAACCAGUGAGCGUUGAAAAGCUUUUGGAUGAGAUGUGGGUAGGGGUGAAAUGCCAAUCGAACGUGGAGAUAGCUGGUUCUCCCCGAAAUAGCUUUAGGGCUAGCCUCAUGGAGAGAGUACAGGCGGUAGAGCACUGAACAGGGUAGGGGCCUAUCCGGCUACUGAACCUAAUCAAACUGCGAAUGGCUGUACUUAUACAUGGGAGUCAGACUGCGAGUAAUAAGACCCGUAGUCAAGAGGGAAACAGCCCAGACCAACAGCUAAGGUCCCCAAUGCCGUACUAAGUGGCGAAGGAUGUGGAAUUUCGAAAACAACCAGGAUGUUGGCUCAGAAGCAGCCACCAUUAAAAGAGUGCGUAAUAGCUCACUGGUCGAGAGACUCUGCGCCGAAGAUGACCGGGGCUGAAGUACGGAACCGAAGCUUUGGCAUGUACGAGAGUACAUGGGUAGGGGAGCGUUCCUGCAUGGGAGAAGCGGUACCGGAAGGAGCCGUGGACAGGCAGGAAGAGAGAAUGCCGGUAUGAGUAGCGAAAAGAAAGGUGAGAAUCCUUUCCACCGAAAGCCUAAGGGUUCCUGGGCAACGCUCGUCGUCCCAGGGUAAGUCGGGGCCUAAUCCGAGGCGGAGACGCGUAGGAGAUGGACAACAGGUUGAGAUUCCUGUACUGCAUCCGUUCGUUCGAGCGACGGAGUGACGCAAGAAGGAAAGCGCGCGUGCGACUGGAAGAGCACGUCCAAGCAGGUAGGUCGGGAGACAGGCAAAUCCGUCUCCCAUAAGGCCGAGAUGUGAUGGGGAGCUUCUGGAGACAGAAGCGAAGGGGCCGGCACUAUAUUGCCAAGAAAAGCUUCUAGUGAGAACGGAUGCACCCGUACCGAAACCGACACAGGUAGGCAGGAAGAGAAUUCUAAGGUGCGCGGGAUAACCCUCGUUAAGGAACUCGGCAAAAUAUAUCCGUAACUUCGGGAAAAGGAUAGCCUGUAGUCAGUGAAGUGCAGAAACGCACGGAGCUAAGGCAGGCGGCAGAAGAGAGGCCCAAGCGACUGUUUACCACAAACACAGGCGUCUGCUAAAGGGAAACCUGACGUAUAGAUGCUGACACCUGCCCGGUGCUGGAAGGUUAAGAGGACUUGUUAGCGCAAGCGAAGCAGAGAAUUGAAGCCCCAGUAAACGGCGGCCGUAACUAUAACGGUCCUAAGGUAGCGAAAUUCCUUGUCGGGUAAGUUCCG